rnacentral:misc_RNA from 1 species
GGCAUUCAGGAACCUUAUGCGGUUUCUCAAUAACAAGAUGUGAUUUAUGAUUGUUCCAUGCAUCACAAGAAAGUUGGCGGGGCAUUCUAAAUGACACUGGAACCAAAGACUGCUGCAAACCCAGACACAUGUUGUGUUGGACCAGUUUUAGCAGGUUGCCCUUACUCCCAGCUUUUAACAUAGCCAGUAACGAAUUGUCGUUGCUUGCAUAAUUAUAUACCAAAUUCUGGAUAUCCCGGAAAACUUUCUUGAAAGCACUAGCAGAAGCUUGACUAAGGGAAGCUGAUUUCUGCUGCAUGAUGGACAUAAACUCAAAAUCAA